rnacentral:pre_miRNA from 1 species
CGGGGGAGGCGGGAUCCUGGGCUAUGUCCUGGCGCCCAGUGCUCCGGGGCCUGCGCUGUUGGAUUCGCGCUCCCGCCCCGCAGCCCCCU